GACGAACGCUGGCGGCGUGCUUAACACAUGCAAGUCGAACGGAAAGGCCCUGCUUGCAGGGUACUCGAGUGGCGAACGGGUGAGUAACACGUGGGUGAUCUGCCCUGCACUUCGGGAUAAGCCUGGGAAACUGGGUCUAAUACCGGAUAGGAGCCAUCUUUAGUGUGAUGGUUGGAAAGUUUUUUCGGUGUAGGAUGAGCUCGCGGCCUAUCAGCUUGUUGGUGGGGUAAUGGCCUACCAAGGCGGCGACGGGUAGCCGGCCUGGGAGGGUGGACGGCCACAUUGGGACUGAGAUACGGCCCAGACUCCUACGGGAGGGAGCAGUGGGGAAUAUUGCACAAUGGGCGCAAGCCUGAUGCAGCGACGCCGCGGGGGGGAUGACGGCCUUCGGGUUGUAAACUCCUUUCGCUAGGGACGAAGCUGUUUGUGACGGUACCUAGAUAAGAAGCACCGGCUAACUACGUG
rnacentral:rRNA from 1 species